GGCAGACUAGUGGGACACAGUAAACAUCACUCACAGGUCAGUCACUGUGACUGCCUUUAAGACCAUAACAUAAGCAACGGCAGCACAAUGCCCCACGUGGGCCCAAUCAAGGCAGUGGCAAAGCUGGUUUCCAAAUAAAGAGGAAACAAACCCAGCCUUGUGAUCAGGUACAUGCCAUUGGCACAUCCCACGUAACUCCCUGUGAUGGAUGGGGCCACACUUGCUGCCAGCCCAUGACAGCACCCUGGGUCUAGGAGCUGCUGCUAGCUCCCUGUCCCUUCUGGAGACAACUUGCUUUUGCAGUGGGAAAGGCUAAGUGUUGAACACAGCAGUCUACACAUCUAUAUUCUUGUGACUGCCCUUAAGCUUACAGGCCUUUUAGAAGGGUGAAG